UUAUGGCUCAGGAUGAACGCUAGCGGCAGGCUUAACACGAUGCAAGUCGAGGGGCAGUCGCGGGGUAGCAAUACGUCUGGCGGCGACCGGCGAAAGGGUGAGUAACGCGUGAGCAACAUGCCCGGUAGAGAGGGAUAGUCAUUGGAAACGAUGCGUAAUACCUCGUAACACACGGAAGCGCAUGAUUCUGUGUUGAAAGAUUAAUCGCUACCGGAUUGGCUCGCGUGCCAUUAGCUAGUUGGCGGGGUAACGGCCCACCAAGGCGACGAUGGCUAGGGGUUCUGAGAGGAAGGUCCCCCACAUUGGAACUGAGACACGGUCCAGACUCCUACGGGAGGCAGCAGUGAGGAAUAUUGGUCAAUGGCCGAGAGGCUGAACCAGCCAUGCCGCCGUGCGGGAGGACGGCCCUAUGGGUUGUAAACCGCUUUUGUCAGGGGGCAAUAAGGUCCACGUGUGGACUGAUGAGAGUACCUGGCGAAUAAGCAUCGGCUAACUCCGUGCCAGCCGCCGC
rnacentral:rRNA from 1 species